rnacentral:rRNA from 1 species
AGUGAACGCUGGCGGUAGGCCUAACACAUGCAAGUCGAACGGCAGCACAGUAAGAGCUUGCUCUUACGGGUGGCGAGUGGCGGACGGGUGAGGAAUACAUCGGCAUCUACUUUUUCGUGGGGGAUAACGUAGGGAAACUUACGCUAAUACCGCAUACGACCUACGGGUGAAAGCAGGGGAUCUUCGGACCUUGCGCGAUUGAAUGAGCCGAUGUCGGAUUAGCUAGUUGGCGGGGUAAAGGCCCACCAAGGCGACGAGCCGUAGCUGGUCUGAGAGGAUGGUCAGGCACACUGGAACUGAGACACGGUCCAGACUCCUACGGGAGGCAGCAGUGGGGAAUAUUGGACAAAGGGCGCAAGCCUGAUCCAGCCAUACCGCGUGGGUGAAGAAGGCCUUCGGGUUGUAAAGCCCUUUUGUUGGGAAAGAAAAGCAGCAGGUUAAUACCCCGCUGUUCUGACGGUACCCAAAGAAUAAGCACCGGCUAACUUCGUG